rnacentral:rRNA from 1 species
AUGUUGGUGGACGCGCUUGCCGCUAUCCUGGACAAGGCAAAGGCGGCGGCCCAUAUUCGUGGGAUCACUCCCCACCUGGCCGGUGGCUCUGGGAUCUCCCUUCUCCAGUAUGCCGACGACACCAUCAUUAUGGUGGAAGGCUCGAAGGGGGACAUCUCUAAUCUGAAGUUCCUCCUCCUCUGCUUCCAACAAAUGUCUGGCCUCAAGAUCAACUUCGACAAGAGCGAUAUGAUGGUGAUGGGCUAUUCUCCGAAUGAAUGCCUGGGCAUUGCCAACCGACUUAACUGCCGCUUGGGCUCCUUCCCCACGACCUACUUGGGGACGCCCAUUAGUGAUUCUCAGCUCACCGUCGCCGACUUGCGUCUGACCGUGGCCAAGCUGCAGACGCGCAUUGAACCUUGGCAGGGUAGGUGGUUGUCGAAGGCGGCCCGGACGAUUCUCAUCAACUCCUCCCUAUCCAGCGUCCUCUUGUUCCUCAUGAGCUUCUAUAGCCUGCACGAGACUCUGCAUCAUAAGAUCACCAGAGUCCAGUCUCCUUUCUACUGGGUGGGUGACAACAAUAAGCAGAAAUACCAUAUAGUUAGCUGGCCCGACAUCUGCAAGCCGAGGGAACAAGGAGGCCUCGGGAUCAUGUGCUCUAGGUGCAUGAACAUCGCCCUCUUAUCCCGCUGGCUAUGGCGCAUUUCGCAAGGGCAAGGUGGGCUCUGGUUAGACAUCAUCCGGAACAAAUACCUGUGUGGGCAACCCCUCGCCUUCUAUCAGAGAUCUGGCGGCUCCCAGUUCUGGCAGUCGGUCAUCCAAGGUCGAUCAUCCAAGUACUCUCGGUUCUUCGCAUUGGGACCUCCAUUUCGGUUGGAUCUGGGGUUGUGA